CUGAAAUCACCAAAACUAUAAUUUUUUUUUUAAAUUUCUAUUUUGGAAAUGUGCACCACGUUCGCUUUCCUAACCCAAGUGUAUUAUCCCACAUUCAUUGAUCCAUGGUUUAUUGGGGAGACGAUCACGCAUAAAAACUCCACGAAAGUGGUUAAAAUGCUGUUUAGCAAACUUCAUUAAAUCAAUAUCGGUAAGUGCUCGUUUGGGUAGCAUAUCUAUUAAUUUUUUGACGAAUGAAACAGUGAAAAGUGGACCUAUUGAUUACGGAACUGAUUAACAAACGAGGUUCGGAAAAUAUUAUAUUAUAAAUACAAUAUAUAUUUUUUCCAUUUCUUUCUGAGUGAGAGUAUCAAGUCUGAUUGCAAGUUAGAAACUGUAAACAAAGGGAGUAAAAUAUACAUAUGUAAACGAGCUUAGAAAAAAAUAUACCUAUGUACGUCGCUAUCAAACGAGCUUAGGAAAAAUAUACAUCUAUACAACGCUUUCAACAGAGCUUCGAAAAAAUAUAAUGAACAUAGUUGAUUCUUGUUCUCUCGCUACGAGUUCAGACAUUAGUAACAAGUCAGAUUGCAAGCUAGAAACUAUAAACCAGGGGCUGAAAAUUAAAAUAUAAAAAUGUUACAACUUAUAAUCAUUGCAGUUAUUUUGCUAUUCAAUGUAAAUUUUGGAAACUGUGAAGCGACAAGUACAAAAAGUUUAGAUUAUAAUAUCACUUUACCAAAUAAUGAUGUUGUUAAAGUUAAUCUUAUUUUCGAGUUCAUAAGUCAAGAAUCGUCACCGAAAAAACCAACAACGACAUCAGGAACUUCAACAAAAAAAGGAGAUACAUCGACAAGGACAUCAGGAACACCAGCAACAGAAGGAGAUUACGAUGAUAGUUACGAGAAAUUUACGGAAGACGACGCAGUCCAAUUGUUUCAAAAAAACCUAUUAGAAAAAGAGCAAAAAAAUAUUGGUGAAAGACUGAACUCAACAGAACCAUUCUAUAGGCAUUUUAAUCUUGCAUAUAAAUCUACAGCUAUAUCAGUUCGUUGUUUAUAUAAAAGCAAUUACAAAAAAAAAACUUUAGAAAUACAAUGUAGUCAAUAUUAUGAAACAACAAUAAUUGAACGUAUAAAGGACAACGGUGAAAUUGAGUAUAUAAUUGUUAGAAAAGACCCCGCCACCCUGGAAAACGUUAUACUCAACGAGGACAUCAACAACUAUACGCAAACGUUGCACAUGACAAUUAAUUGAGCGGUCGAGAGGUCAAACUGCAAUUUUAAAUAAACGAUAAUCACACACAUAACCACACAUGAUAAAACAUUUUUUAUUCACAAUUCUAUAAAACUACUAUAUACCUAUAAAUAUAUGUAUUCGAGGUGUAAAACAGCAAUUGCGUUUCAAAUAAAUUUAUUUUUUAAUCUCAAUUCUAUAAAACUACUAUAUAUGUAUAUAUUCGAGGGGUCAAACAGCAAUUGCAUUUCAAAUAAAUUUCAAAUAAAUUUCAAAUACAUUUAUUUAUUAGCAUUAAUGUUAAUUACCCUUAUUUAUUUACAUUUUUUAUACAUACACACACAUAUAAAGCACAAUUCUGUAAAACUAUUGAGUCAUCCAGUAUGGAUCGAGAGAUUUUAAAUUGAGAUACUUGAGAACUAAGGUCAAUAUUCAAUGUAAAUAUUAUAGUGAUUAUACAAAUAAAAUAUUGCGAAUUUAUUGUAAUCACCAUAA